CACAUUGUCCCUGCAUUUGUGCCUGCAUGUGACCUUUACAGCUUCCCCAUAGGAUAACCACUGUGGGGUCAGAUGUGAGAGAAAACUCCAAGGAAAUCAUGCAUCUGAAGAUUUCCACUGUUUUUAAAGAUGUUACACAUACUGACUGGAGACAUUAGGGGAAGAAGAUGGUUCAGAAAAGAUUUUCCAGUGAAAGGACAUGGUACCACCUGAGAAUUAGGUUGCCACUAUGCAGUACUGUACUCAUGGUCACAUGGAACUACUGGGGAAAAAUGUCUUUCCGAAAUGCCAUCCUCUUUUCCUCGUGGGAGGCAGGACCUGAAACUGAGUUGUGUAAAACCACCUUAAGAACACCUUACAAAGCCAGUGCUUUCUCCAUUUGCAUGUUUUAUUUUGUAGAAAAUUAA